rnacentral:lncRNA from 1 species
CUCCAUGGCAUAAAAGUGGAAUCUAUCAAUUCUGAUGCGAUCCAAUGGUGUUGGGAUCUCCAAGAAAGACUCACACGAGUACUGGAUGGAACAAUGCUUUACUAUCAUAUAGAAGAAACAGAGAAAGCCCAGUUUCAACAGUGAGUAUCAGUUCAGUUUCUUAUGAUCAGCGGGUCUCGUCCCACAGUCGACACAGGAGAUGACUUGCACGCACCCGUCUUGGGCAGCAGGUGAAGGACCCCAUUUCCUCCCAACCAGGAAGAGACAUAGCAGGGGAUGCCAUAUGAUGAACAUGCUUAAGCAGAACAGAAGAAUACACAUCACGUCUGGAACAGGAAAAAUAUUCCCAAACAAAGAGAUACACCCAGCACAGGCUAUGAAAGCUUUCUAUCUCUUUUUAAGAACUGGUUCCAGACCCAAAGCACAUUCUUAGCCAACCAUGCAAGAAUUAAAAGACCACAUACCCAUGAUGGCCUUUCGCAGCAAUAUUUAUCUUCAAAUAUUUGAAUAAUUGUUUUUGUUGUUGUUGUUUUUGCUUUUUGUUUGUUUGUUUUUGUCUUCCAAAAGAAGUCCAACCUUACUUUGAGUCACUCCAGAUGGUAGGACCUGAAUUUAUACUGGAAAGGUACAUGGAAGCAUACUACACCUCAAAAUAAGAAAAGGUGUCAAACAAAUCUAUCAGAAACCAAAAUGGGCCAUAUUUAAAUAAUUGUGCUUUUUCUUCUAGAUCAUAUUCACAAAGAUGACACAUCUUAGUGCCAUGGCAAAUAAUUG